ACUCGAGUGGCGAACGGGUGAGUAACACGCGGGUGAUCUGCCCUGCACUUCGGGAUAAGCUUGGGAAACUGGGUCUAAUACCGGAUAGGAGCCAUCUUUAGUGUGGUGGUUGGAAAGUUUUUUCGGUGUAGGAUGAGCUCGCGGCCUAUCAGCUUGUUGGUGGGGUAAUGGCCUACCAAGGCGGCGACGGGUAGCCGGCCUGAGAGGGUGUACGGCCACAUUGGGACUGAGAUACGGCCCAG
rnacentral:rRNA from 1 species